UACAAUGGAAGAGAAUCAGCACAAAGCUGGAUGGCUGUUCAGUUCACAUCCAGGCCUGGAAGCUCUUCAUCUGGCUCUCUGAUGAUCAUUCGGUGGAUUUGUGGAGUUUUACUGCUGAUUGUUCUGCUGCUGCUGUUGUGUUUCUACAAUGGAUCAAAAGAUUCAUGCUUCAACAGGUUGGUAUGAUCCUUUAC